CAGUCGCCGCGGGAAUACGAAGGGGGCUAGCGUUGUUCGGAAUUACUGGGCGUAAAGCGCACGUAGGCGGAUAUUUAAGUCAAGGGUGAAAUCCCGCAGCUCAACUGCGGAACUGCCUUUGAUACUGGGUAUCUUGAGUAUGGAAGAGGUUAGUGGAAUUGCGAGUGUAGAGGUGAAAUUCGUAGAUAUUCGCAGGAACACCAGUGGCGAAGGCGGCUAACUGGUCCAUAACUGACGCUGAGGUGCGAAAGCGUGGGGAGCAAACAGGAUUAGAUACCCCCGUAGUCCCUGUCUCUUAUAC
rnacentral:rRNA from 1 species